CCCUUAGAUGUUCUGGGCCGCACGCGUGCUACACUGAGUAAUUCAAUGGGUAAGGGAACGCUAGAGCAUUACCUAAUCUUGAAAUUUGCUCGUGAUGGGGAUCGACGGUUGCAAUUUUCCGUCGUGAACGAGGAAUACCUUGUAGGCGCAUGUCAUCAUCAUGCGCCGAACACGUCCCUGCCCUUUGUACACACCGCCCGUCGCUCCUACCGAUUGAGUGAUCCGGUGAGGCUCUGGGACCUGGACGGAAAGAGCGUUUCGCUUGUUCUGUUUGGGAAACUUGGUCGAACCUUAUCAUUUAGAGGAAGGAGAAGUCGUAACA
rnacentral:rRNA from 1 species